rnacentral:misc_RNA from 1 species
GAUGAAGAACGUAGCGAAAUGCGAUAAGUAAUGUGAAUUGCAGAAUUCAGUGAAUCAUCGAAUCUUGAACGCACAUUGCGCCCGGCAGUACUCUGCCGGGCAUGCCUGUUCGAGCGUCAUUUCAACCCUCAAGCCCUGCUUGGUGUUGGGGCCCCACGGCUGCCGUGGGCCCUGAAAGGAAGUGGCGGGCUCGCUACAACUCCGAGCGUAGUAAUUCAUUAUCUCGCUUAGGGCGUUGGGCGGCGCUCCAGCCGUUAAAGAACCAUCUUUAACUCAAGGUUGACCUCGGAUCAGGUAGGAAUACCCGCUGAACUUAAGCAUAUCAAUAAGCGGAGGA